rnacentral:rRNA from 1 species
UACAGAGGUCCCGAGCGUUGUUCGGAUUCACUGGGCGUAAAGGGUGCGUAGGUGGUGAGGUAAGUCGGAUGUGAAAGCUCCGAGCUCAACUCGGAAAUGGCAUUGGAAACUACCUUGCUCGAGGGUUGGAGGGGGGACUGGAAUACUUGGUGUAGCAGUGAAAUGCGUAGAUAUCAAGUGGAACACCAGUGGCGAAGGCGAGUCCCUGGACAACUCCUGACACUGAGGCACGAAAGCUAGGGGAGCAAACA